rnacentral:lncRNA from 1 species
GGCAUUUCUCAUGAGCUCAUCAGCGCAAGAGCUAACAUUUUCCCUGUUUGUUUUCUUUUCAGACACGAAUGCAUUUGCUUCAGCAAAAGAGACAUGUAUCUUAGAAACCUAUCAAAAAUAUUUGAAUACAGCUACCUCGGCAAUCUCUGCUCUGCGGGCUCCUCCCCCCACCUUUCUUUUAACCUUUGCCUGAGAAGAAUUUAAAUGGCAUAUUUAGUGGCUGCAUAUUGUGCUUCCUGUACCCACUGCUGCAUAAAAGGGAUUGAUUUAAAUCGCUUACAGUAACCAUGUGGGGGAGGAGGGUCUAGUUUUCUGCACCAAAUGCUCCAGGAUGCAUAAUAAGCAACCACAAAUACAGACAACAAAUGAGUGUGCUUGCAUUUGUCUCUUCUCUGGUAAAGAAUUAUUCUUUAGUACGGAUGGACUGCACACUUUUAGCAUCAACAAGAGAGCAGCUCAGAUGUACGAGCACCAAUAAAGGAUACUUAAGCCUCCGUCCCCCAGGUAAUGAGUCUCAGAAAUGUUGGCUAAAAAAGUCAGAGAAUGUUCCUAUUUAUAAUUUUUUUGAAUCAUGAAAUUUAUAACACCUCCCAAAGCAGGAACGGACCAAGUUUAAAGAUUACAGCUGAGUGCCAGUAAAGCGUUAAAGGCAACCAUUGUUAAUAACAAUCGGCUGAAAAGCAAGACACAGCUCAUGCUUUGGAGCCGUACUAAGAGAUUCGGCAUCUCUAAAAUCGCUAGAGCCUUUGACAAGCCAGGCAUAAAUCAGGAGGCAUUUAAAUUCCUGAUUUUCUGGCAUUUUUAAAGCUAUAAAUCCUACACAUUCCUAAAACCACAUGGUCCCAUAACUAGAGCUGAGGGCUAGAGUAGGUCCCUGGAACAGUUCAAAGGGUCAAACUGGAAUUAGGAGCUCCUGCUUCUCUCUAGGCCUUAAGGCAAUUUUUUCUGAAGGACAUUUAAAGAUUUUUUUUUGAAGUCUUCUGAAAUGAGGCCAAGAGGGUGUUACAUUUAUCCCAACAAUCUACCAGGCCUUUCUCGUCUUUGGAUGUAACCAUGUUGGGAUUUUUCUAGAUCUUAUUAAUCCAUGUCUAUAUACUCAAGAUGGUUUGGAUAGUCAGAGGUCAGAAAACAAUUAAAGGAGGGAGACUAAAUGGUCUAUAAAUGAAUGUGAUCUAUUCAGGGUUUCUUAAAAUGAGCUUAAGGACCAUUUGCCUUCCUGGAGAGAGAUGUGGAUGGAAGAGGUGUCCUGCUCCAAUCCAUGACUUUAGCAUGAGGAAAGCAUUCAGGAUGAAUGAAAGAAAGAACAGAGCAGAAUCAGGAUGCCUGGUUAAGAGACAAUAAGUCAAAAUAAGAUGAAAUGAGAACCCAAACUACAGAGUGGCAGCGAAAAUGCAGAGUGAAUGUGGAAAACUUGAUGAAGGUAAAAUCUGAAGACCUUGGCACCUAAUUGGAUUCGCAUGAGGAGAACCAGAGAAGGGAGAGUCACUCAUGUCCGGGAGGAAAGAGCACAGCAUUUGUAACCUAGAAACCUGGACUGAAGGUCUUUAUUCUGCCAUUUACUAGUUUUGUAAACUCUGGGAAGCCAUUCACCUCUGAGUCUCAUUUUUAUCGGUUGCAAAACAAGGCUGGAAAUACCUACAAAAUAAAUGAGAAAAUGUAUUAAAUGUC